rnacentral:misc_RNA from 1 species
GCCACCUACCCCAAUAUAGCCACAAAUCCAUAACCUACUUUACUCUGUACAUUGAUGAGAAAUUCGAAAAGAAUGAAGCCAAACAAUUGUAACCCUUUCUUGUCCAAGGGAGAUGACAACAUCCAUGAUGAUUAUCAGGAGCUUUUGUUUCAGUCUCAGGAAGAAUUCGAUUUUGUAGACAAGGUUAAGGAAUGGUUUGAGAUCCAUGAAGAUGUUUUUAUAACAUUCCUUCAUCAGUGGAAAUUGUACCAACAAGGACACAAGAGCAAACAUGACCUCUUCUGUGAUAUGGCUUUCCUUUUCUCUGACUAUCAAGAUUUUCUUGCGGAGUUCGCAGGACUCUUAAAAGAAUCUACACCAAGUCCUUUGCCAGAAGCAGGACUCUUAAAAGAAUCUACACCAAGUCCUUUGCCAGAACUGAAAUCUGAAAUGAAGAAUCAGGAAAAGUUGUGAAAGCUUAUCCCUGUAUUUCAUGCGAAGUCACCACUGGGAAAGUGAAUAUAUUUUCAGUGAUAUGUUAUUGCUUUAAGUUUCUGCAAUUAGGUAAGGCUUGUUCAUGCUUGUAUUGAAUUAUUGAUGAAUAAAAGUUCCCUAUCUUAUAUAUCUUGCCUUGCCUAGAGUGAAAUCUU